CUACAGAACGUGUCCUUUUUAUGUGUCCAUUCAAACGCAGGUAUGUGAGUUUUGUACACCAGUUUGUUUAUGUUUAAUGUUUCACAUUGUUUACUACCACUAUACGAUCAUUGAUGUGUUGUUGGAGAUUUAUAUACCGCGUGAGGAUCUUUUGAGAAACGUGUCCUUUUUAUGUGUCCAUUCAAACGCAGGUAUAAACAAACGCAGUGAAAUAAACCAAAGUAUUCACCAGCUCUGAGUGGUCUGUUGCCGAGGGGACACUACACCGGGGGUUAC